rnacentral:rRNA from 1 species
GUGAGGAAUAUUGGUCAAUGGGCGGGAGCCUGAACCAGCCAAGUCGUGUGAAGGAAGAAGGAUCUAUGGUUCGUAAACUUCUUUUGCAGGGGAAUAAAGUGCAGGACGUGUCCUGUUUUGUAUGUACCCUGAGAAUAAGGAUCGGCUAACUCCGUGCCAGCAGCCGCGGUAAUACGGAGGAUCCGAGCGUUAUCCGGAUUUAUUGGGUGUAAAGGGCGCGUAGUUGGUUUGAUAAGUCAGCGGUGAAAGUUUGCAGCUUAACUGUAAAAAUGCCGUUGAAACUGUCGGACUUGAGUGUAAAUGAGGUAGGCGGAAUGCGUGGUGUAGCGGUGAAAUGCAUAGAUAUCACGCAGAACUCCGAUUGCGAAGGCAGCUUACUAAGCUACAACUGACACUGAAGCACGAAAGCGUGGGGAUCAAACAGGAUUAGAUACCCCAGUAGUCC